rnacentral:rRNA from 1 species
GACGAACGCUGGCGGCGUGCCUAAUACAUGCAAGUUGAGCGCUGAAGGUUGGUACUUGUACCAACUGGAUGAGCAGCGAACGGGUGAGUAACGCGUGGGGAAUCUGCCUUUGAGCGGGGGACAACAUUUGGAAACGAAUGCUAAUACCGCAUAAAAACUUUAAACACAAGUUUUAAGUUUGAAAGAUGCAAUUGCAUCACUCAAAGAUGAUCCCGCGUUGUAUUAGCUAGUUGGUGAGGUAAAGGCUCACCAAGGCGAUGAUACAUAGCCGACCUGAGAGGGUGAUCGGCCACAUUGGGACUGAGACACGGCCCAAACUCCUACGGGAGGCAGCAGUAGGGAAUCUUCGGCAAUGGACGAAAGUCUGACCGAGCAACGCCGCGUGAGUGAAGAAGGUUUUCGGAUCGUAAAACUCUGUUGGUAGAGAAGAACGUUGGUGAGAGUGGAAAGCUCAUCAAGUGACGGUAACUACCCAGAAAGGAACGGCUAACUACGUGC